rnacentral:snRNA from 1 species
GGAGAUCUGGCUGCAUUAUUUGUCAUGCCAUUGAUCAGCAACGUUGAGUUGGCUAAUCUGGCUGUGUAGGCAGGUGUUCCUUUCCUUCCAUGUUCGUCCCUCUUGAAGCUGUGUUUGGUUGACAAGUAUGCCUUUCUCCAGUAGAUAAGAGGACUGCUGCCUUGGUCAAGUGCUCCCCUGCUAAAAGGACCAUACAAGCUCUCAAAGCCAAAUGAUAGGGCUGGCCAAAUAGCUCGGCAGAUUAAAGUGUCUGCUU